CAGACCUUACUUUGGUAACAUGGAUCUACUAUGCUGGGAGAAUAUCAAAGACCCAUUUUGUGAUGAGCUUGAGGGUUCCCGGUAUCAUAUCUCAAGAGAACAAUAAGUGCAUCAGGCAAGGAUAACUGGCGGGAUUCAACUUUAGUGGCUGGACACUACUCACCCUGAGGCUGCUGCAGCUAAUCGAUCCUGGAACAACUGACAAAAGUCAGCAGAAGAAAAAGAAGAGAAUACAAAGGCAGGCCUUUCACACAUGAAGCAAAAGGAAUAAAACCCUAAGACCACUGGAAAGAAGAGAAGAGAUGAAGAAUUCAAGGACAUAAU